rnacentral:tRNA from 1 species
GUAACAAUGGCUGAGUGAUAAAGCGCUUGGCUUCCGAAACAGGGGUCUCAGGUUCAAAUCCUGGUCAAGACU